rnacentral:rRNA from 1 species
AUCGAACGCUGGCGGAAUGCUUUACACAUGCAAGUCGAACGGCAGCACGGACUUCGGUCUGGUGGCGAUUGGCGAACGGGUGAGUAAUGUAUCGGAACGUGCCCAGUCGUGGGGGAUAACGUAGUGAAAGCUGUGCUAAUACCGCAUACGAUCUAUGGAUGAAAGCGGGGGAUCGCAAGACCUCGCGCGAUUGGAGCGGCCGAUAUCAGAUUAGGUAGUUGGUGGGGUAAAGGCCCACCAAGCCUGCGAUCUGUAGCUGGUCUGAGAGGACGACCAGCCACACUGGGACUGAGACACGGCCCAGACUCCUACGGGAGGCAGCAGUGGGGAAUUUUGGACAAUGGGCGCAAGCCUGAUCCAGCAAUGCCGCGUGCAGGAUGAAGGCCUUCGGGUUGUAAACUGCUUUUGUACGAGACGAAAAGACUCGCUCUAAUACAGUGGGUACAUGACGGUAUCGUAAGAAUAAGCACCGGCUAACUACGUGCCAGCAGCCGCCGUAA